UACGUAGGGGGCAAGCGUUGUCCGGAAUCAUUGGGCGUAAAGAGCGUGUAGGCGGCCCGAUAAGUCCGCUGUGAAAGUCCAGGGCUCAACCCUGGAAUGCCAGUGGAAACUGUCGGGCUAGAGUCCGGAAGAGGCGAGUGGAAUUCCUGGUGUAGCGGUGAAAUGCGCAGAUAUCAGGAGGAACACCAGUGGCGAAGGCGAGUCCCUGGACAACUCCUGACACUGAGGCACGAAAGCUAGGGGAGCAAACAGG
rnacentral:rRNA from 1 species